rnacentral:rRNA from 1 species
CGAAUGGGGCAAGCGUUGUUCGGAAUCACUGGGCUUAAAGCGUAUGCAGGUGGAUUUUACAAGUCAGAAGUGAAAUCCCAGGGCUUAACCCUGGAAUUGCUUUUGAAACUGUAGAUCUGGAAUCCCGGAGAGGUUAACAGAAUUCCGAGUGUAGAGGUGAAAUUCGCAGAUAUUCGGAGGAAUACCAGUGGCGCAAGCGGUUAACUGGACGGGCAUUGACACUCAGAUACGAAAGCGUGGGUAGCAAACAGGAUUAGAUACCCUGGUAGUCCACGCCAUAAACGAUGUGUGCUAGUUGUCGGGAUCUUAGAUCUCGGUGACGCAGCGAAAGCGGUAAGCACACCGCCUGGGGAGUACGGUCGCAAGAUUA